UGGAGAAUUGAUUCAAUUCCAAGUUGCUUUAUACAAAGAAAUACACGUCUUAGGCAGAUUCUCAAGGAACCUUAGCUUAUUCAAUUUAGGUAUAAGUAUACGAAAUUCCAAUGUUCACAAUAGCUGAAACAUCUAUUUUUGGUAGCAACGUAAGUUUCAAUUUUGGAGAAGUAUAUUAUAAUUUUUCUAAAGAACAACACGCGGGUUUCGCUCACCGCUUCGAUCUCGUUAUUCCACUUUGUCGUGCUGACGAAUCCGGGUUUUCUUCAAAGUGAAGUAAGGUGGAAGAAGAAUACUUCUUUGCAUAUAAGAUCAGUGAAGCCCGAGACCUAAGUUAAGACUAACUUGAGAAGCGACAAGGUAUGUAAAGCUAUCCUUUCUUUCUUUUUGGGAUGAUCCUUAUCAUAUGAAUGAACACAGUGAGCAAGCAAGUUCCAAAGACUCUAUUCUUAGAGAGUGUAGAGAUAUUUGUAUCGUUGGCCUCCUAUGUUUUAUGUCCAUAACUCCUAGAGACUUUUCAUAUUAGCUUCUUAUGUCACCAGAGGGGUUCAGAGUAUUCUUUUCCGAGUUUUCCAUGCAUUUAUACGUAUUAUAUUAUAUAUGGAUCGGGUUGUACGUUCCUCGGCACUAACAUAUUAUAUUAUAUAUGGAUCGGGCCUUACGUUCCUCGGCACUAACAUAUUAUAUUAUAUUUAUGGAUCGGGCCGUACGUUCCUCGGUACUAACAUAUUAUAUUAUAUAUAGAUCGGGUCGUACGUUCCUCGGCACUAACAUAUUAUAUUAUAUAUGAAUCGGGUCGUACGUUCCUCUGCACUAACAUAUUAUAUUAUAUAUGGAUCGGGUCGUACGUUCCUCGGCACUAUUAUAUUAUAUAUGGAUCGGGCUGUAUGUUCCACAGCGCUAUCAGUUAUAUUAUAAGCUAUGCCUAUCAUACGCCGUAGAGUCAGUUUCUGUCAUAUAGAGUUAUGCAGAUAUUCUCAGAUGUUAGCCGCAGAUGCUUUCUAUUAUUGAGGUUGGUUUUCAUGAUUCAUCUGUACUUGAUGUUCUUAUGCUUUAUAUACUCAGUACAUAUUCUGUACUGACCCCCUUUCUUCGGGGGGCUGCGUUUCAUGCCAGCAGGUACAGACACUCGAUUUGGUGAUCCCCCAGCUUAGGAUUUCUAGUCAGCUGUCUUGGAGAGCUCCGUUGUUCCGGAGACUAGACUUUUGAUCAGUGAAGCCCGAGACCUAAGUUAAGAUUAACUUGAGAAGCGACAAGGUAUGUAAAGCUAUCCUUUCUUUCUUUUUGGCAUGAUCCUUAUCAUAUGAAUGAACACAGUGAGCAAGCAAGUUCCAAAGACUCUAUUCUUAGAGAGUGUAGAGAUAUUUGUAUCGUUGGCCUCCUAUGUUUUAUGUCCAUAACUCCCAGAGACUUUUCAUAUUAGCUUCUUAUGUCACCAGAGGGGUUCAGAGUAUUCUUUUCCGAGUUUUCCAUGCAUUUAUACGUAUUAUAUUAUAUAUGGAUCGG